rnacentral:misc_RNA from 1 species
GAUGAAGAACGUAACGAAAUGCGAUAAGUAAUGCGAAUUGCAGAAUUCAGUGAAUCAUCGAAUCUUUGAACGCACAUUGCGCCCGCCAGUAUUCUGGCGGGCAUGCCUGUCUGAGCGUCGUUUCGACCCUCGCGCCCGGCUUCUGUCGGGGGCGGUGUUGGGGAUCGGCCACACCCUUCAGUGGGAGGCCGGCCCCUAAAUUCAGUGGCGACCACGCUGUAGCCUCCCCUGCGUAGUACUAAAACCACCUCGCAGGCGGAGAGCGGUGCGGCCCGCCGUAAAACCCCCCAACUUUUACAAGGUCGACCUCAGAUCAGGUAGGAAUACCCGCUGAACUUAAGCAUAUCAAUAAGCGGAGGA